rnacentral:lncRNA from 1 species
CUUGUUUACCGAUUUGGACGACAACAAAGAACAUGAUGCUAUUGUCUCCCAAGGCGGAAGUGUCAUUAUUUCACCUAUGGGACAGGUUCUUGCGGGACCAAACUUUGAAUCAGAGGGUCUCAUCACAGCUGAUCUUGGUAAAAAUAUAUAUACACUUCUUUAAUUUUUAUCUUAGGCUAUAGAAAAUGAUAACUUUUUGAGCUUAUCAUAUCAUAACGUUAUUUUCGUCAUCCAGAUCUUGGUGAGGUAGCAAGAGCUAAGUUGUACUUUGAUGUGGUCGGACAUUACUCGAAGCCAGAUGUUCUCAGCUUGACCGUAAACGAACACCCGAAGAAACCGGUUACAUUCGUGUCGAAGGUGGAGAAAGCGGAGGAUGAGUCAAACAAAUAAUCGAGAUUUGUAAUUCGUCAGUCAUAUGAUGGAGUCAAGUUCAAAAUGUUCUGUUGUUUCAAAUAUUAUGCUGAAGUUUGUUUAUCUUUUUGUCCAAUAAUGCGAAAGAACCAAUUGGAUAUGGUAUGGUAAGAGAUCCAUGUUGUUUCAUAAACUAAUUGGUUCUCUUCUCUUGUAUUUAAAGAUUGUGCUAUCUUUCAAGUUGAAGUAGCUUCUAUCUUUAUCCAAUUUGAGUGUUUAAUCUCGGGUGUUGUGUUGUUAUGUUCUUUAUUUUUCUUUUCAUAUUGGCAUUUAGAAUGUUUGAUAAUUAAGUUAUUGUAUUGAACUAUUUUCACAUACAUUAAUUCCAAAAAGAAACAUAUAUAUAUUACUUUUUUUUUGGUAUCACAUACAUAUACUCCCUCUAUUUCAAAUUAUUAGUUGUUUUAGAGGUUUUUUUUUGUUUCAAAAUGUAAGUUGUUUUUCAAAACCAAGACAAAAAGUUUUUACUUUUAGAUUCACUUUAUUACUGAAAGCUUCCAAAGCUUUGAAUCACGUAUUACCAAGAAAAAAAAGUUAAUAAAAUAGUAUUGUCUUUUAUUAAGUGUACAAAAAGUAAAAGAAACCUUAAUAUGUGUGCAUUCAUGCAAAACAACUAAUAAUAUGAAACAGAGGCAGUAUUACUUUAUUUUCGUAAGACUAAUAUUGACAACGAAAAUACAAGUUAUGCUAAACCAUUACGUAUAUUGGAUCUCACAUGUUUUUGUUUUAUAUUCCGUAUAUGGCUGUCACUAGCUAGGGUGUCGAUCAGAAGCGUGAUAUAAAAAAGACUAAACAGUGUUUGCAUAAUUGAGUUUGGUUUGUUUCAUUGACAAUUGUGUUUUGUUUUUUUUUUUCCUUUGGCAAAGUAGAAAUCAAGUUCCUACAAGCGAGAAAAGAAAAAAAAUAAAAAAAAAUAAAUAGGAAAGACUUGAGCUUUGGCCGUCAACACUGAGAGCCUAUAGAGAGACGGAAAACUUUGAAGCUGGAAAAAACAAGAAGCUGGGCAGGGAGUGUUCGUUCUACAAGAUUCACGUGCGGAUGAGAUCAUUACUGUAGAACUAAAAUAUGAGGCUGAGGUCAAUGUGAAGAGUGUCUCGGAGUUGAGUAAAGGCCUAUCUUAGGUCGAAGAGAUUGUCGAGAAAAAGCUAACAGCAUGUUGGGGUUGGGGACCAGUCAGAUAAGAGAGUGAUUGGGGACAAGCCAACAUGGAGUUAGGUUGUGUAACACCAAUUAAGUAUAAUCUUGGUAGAGAUUAGCUUAAUAGAUCUCUUGGCUGCUGCAGAUCUAGUAGAAUAGAAUGGCAGCACAGUAGGGUGUAGUAUGCCAUGAGCAAUUGUAACAUUCUUAUUCUAGCGGAUUUGGUCAUGGGGAUUUAGGAAAAACUAAACCCCGUUAAGAAACUCUGUGUUGUCCUUUAUGGUUAGCACAUGUUAUUAUCUAUGUUUUGCUUAUCACUCAUGAAUAGAUUAGGUGCUAAAUCAAUUAGGUGUUCCGCAAACAACAUAUAGAACUUCCGACAACGUUUUGAUUGAUUAUUAGGUUCUCUGCAAUUACAUAUGAUAGUAAAUUCAAAAAUAUUGGACCACCCUAAGAUUAUAUAUGAGCCCAACUCACUUUUCAAAUAUUUAAUAAAAAUAAAAUUGGUUUUAAAAAUGCUAUUUGUAAAAUAAAAUUUAAUAAUUUCAUUAUUUUAAAUUCUUAUAGAUAGGCUACACCAAAAAAUCACUCCUUGUGGUCCAAACAUAAAUUACAAUCAAUUUUAUGAGGUAGGACGUACGGCCGGCCAUAAAAAUGUAAGGUAUUACGAAAUUAUAAAUAUAUUUAUGUAUAAAGGAUGAAGUGUAUAAUUGGUGCAAACAACCAAGAUAUAUAUUUUUUUACAGACUGUUUAGAUAUGGUGAAGAUUGUAUCUUUUUUAGGUCUGGACAUAAUACUCGAAUCCGAAGAACCAAACAGAAUCUGAUCCGAAAAACCCAAUUUGAAUCCGAACCCGAAGUUUUAAAUUAUCCGAACGGAUCCUAAACUUCACAACCCAAAACUCGAACCCGAAGCCGAACAAGUACCCGAAAACAUACCUAAAAUAUAAGUACAUAGUUAAAUAUAUUAGUAAUAUUUAUACUUGUAAUAACCUAAAUACUAUAAGAAAAAAAAAUGAGAGCGAGGCGAUUUUUUGAGCGAACACAACCUUUCACCCUUCUCUCUUGGUUUCUGUCGGAAAUUGACAGUUUUCGCCGGUUAUCGGCGGUUUCUUCAGGGAAGGGUAAUGGUAAAACAGUUACUGUCUCGAUAACUGCCAUCCCUGUUACUCUAUAUAAUCCUUGCGUCUGUCUCUGGAUUAAUUGUGUUGACCAGAGUGAAAUUCAAAUUCCUUUUCCGCUGUUCCUGUUGAUCAUGGCUGAUAAAUUACGCAGACAGAUGCAAGAGAUUGCUCUUGGAAUCGAAGAGGAAGUAAUCAAUCUUCCGUAUGAAUUGUGCGAAGAGGCGAUCAGCGAAACUAGAUUCAGUCUCGUGGUCAAACCUGUCAAUCCCAAGAAGCAAAACUUAAGGGCGAUGCUUGGUACUCUACCAUGACUGUGGGGAGUCGGUGACGAAGUCACGGGACGUAUAUUGGAGAAUAAGAAGAUACAAUUCUUGUUCCAAUCAGAAGAAUCGAUGACCUUUGUUUUAAGACGCGGUCCCUGGUCUUUUAAUGAAUGGAUGUGCGUUACACAACGCUGGAAUCCGAACCUUAUCGAUGAUGACUUGAAGAGACUCCCAUUCUGGAUUCAGAUCAGAGGCAUCCCUCUCCACUUACUCACGCUCCGAAUGAUUACAUCGAUUGGAGGAAGGAUGGGUCACUUCCUGGAAACUGAUUUUAGAGGAGACAACGCCGUCUUGGUUGAUUAUGUCUGUGUCAGGAUCCUCUGGAAUAUUGAUGAUCCUUUAAGGUUCCAAAGGCCUUUCCAAUUCGGUGAUGAAACCUCUGUUCUGAAGUUCAGAUAUGAAAAGCUAAGAAACUUCUGCUCUACUUGCGGUUUGCUGACACAUGAAGCGAUGAAUUGUCCUAUGAACAACGAUAUUCAGCCGCCUCCACCUUCGGAUGAUGAGAAUGAUGAUGAUCCGGAUUACAAUCCAGAGGCACCUAUGGCCGACCAACAAGAAGAUACACAGAAACUCGGAGUUGACAAUGUUGCGGAUAGUGGCAAGCAUGAAGAUACAUCUGGUUCAUCCAAGAAGAGAAAGAUGGAACCAUCUAGUGCACCUGAACACAUUCAUGCUUUCCCACUUGUGUGUUGCGACGUGAGACAGACGAGGGCUACAGAAGAUACCGAUCUCCAGGUCUACAAACGUCAACGCCGCCAAUCUGAGAUAAUUGAAGGCCGUGCCUGGUACCUUAUGCAGCAAGUUCCUUCACCACAACCAACCGAAGCAGGGAGAUCCACUCCGAAUGCACCAACAACCAACUGUGAUGGUACGAUGGGCCAUAAGCCACUGGAGCUGCCAUGAAUACAGCAUUUUGGAACUGCCGGGGCUUAAAAGGGUCUUUGGUAGUUCGACGCCUUAAGGGAAUCAAGGCAACUUAUUCUCCGAACAUACUCUUUUUGCUCGAAACGAAGAAUCCGGAUGAUGUCGUUCAAGAUGUGCCAGCUCAAUUAGGAUAUGACUAUGUGAAAUGUGUAUCUCCUUUGGGUAUUGGGGGUGGUUUAGCGUUGUUAUGGAACAAGUCAGUUUCAGUUUGCUUUUAUGAUGUUGAUGCAAGACUCAUUGAUUGUAAGUUAAGUAAUAAAGAUAUGUCUUUCUACUUUUCUUGUGUCUAUGGCCAUUCAAUUCGUCAAUUGCGUAAUAUUUUAUGGGAAAGACUUCAAAGAAUAGCUCUUAUUCGCAAUGAACCUUGGCUAAUGUGUGGAGACUUUAAUGAGAUACUUCAUGCAAAUGAAAAAAGAGGAGGGCCUAUAAGAGAGCCGUGGAGCUUGGUGGAUUUCAGAAAUAUGGUUCAAAUAUGCAAAGUCUCUGAUCUACCAUUUAAAGGAAACAAUAUGACUUGGGCUGGGAAAAGAAGAACACAUCAUGUGGAAAGUUGGAUAGAUAGGGCAAUGGCAAAUGACCAGUGGAGAGCUACCUUCCUUUCUUCAGAAAUUGAAUAUCUAGAGAUGGUAGAAUUUGACCAUAGACCUGCCAUAAUAAAGAUCAGAAGGACAACGGAACAUGGGAAGAGGCUGUUUCAGUUUGAUACACGACUUUGUCAACACUCAGACUUUGAAACCGUUGUGGUAGAUAGUUGGAAUCAGUUUGAGGGUUUUGCUAACAUCACGGUACAUGACCGAAUCAAGUGCUGUAGAAGAGAGAUCUCUGCGUGGAAAAGAAAUAACAACACUAACUCAGCAGUGAGAAUCAAGGAACUCAUCAAAGUUAUUGAUGAAACUCAUACAGAUAACGUCACAACAAUUGAGCAGAUACAUAGCCUUCGAAGAGAAUUGUUACAAGCGUAUAGAGACGAAGAAAUCUAUUGGAAGUUGAAGAGUAGAAACCAGUGGCUUGAAGAAGGCGACUCAAACACCCGCUUUUUCCAUGCGUCUACGAAAAAUAGGAUUGCCCGUAAUAGAUUAACUUCGGUUGAAGGUAACAACGGCAAUGUGAUAUUUGGCAAUCGCGAGAUUGGUGAGGAGGCAGUAAGAUAUUUUGGUCAUUUAUUCUCAAGCACAAAUACAUCAGACCCAGUUGCUACACUUCGCAAUAUACGACCAGUCGUAUCGGAAGACAAGAAUGCAUCACAUGAUUGGAACCACACAAACAUCUGUUUGAUUCCUAAAAUCCAACAGCCCAAAACAAUGAAAGAUUUCCGACCAAUCAGUCUCUACAACGUCACUUACAAGAUCAUCUCAAAAAUAAUGGUUAAGAGGUUGAAAACUGUGCUGCCAUCAAUAGUUUCGGAGAAUCAAGCUGCAUUUAUACCAGGCCGGUUCAUUACCGAUAAUGUACUCAUAGCUCAUGAGAUUUUUCACUCGUUACGCGUCCGUAAAAGAUGUGCCAAUUCGUAUAUGGCAGUGAAAACUGACAUAAGUAAAGCAUACGAUAGAGUUGAAUGGAGAUUCUUGGAAGAAGUGCUUCGGAGAAAAGGUUUUGCACACUGUUGGAUAAAAUGGAUCAUGGAAUGUAUACUUUCGGUCUCCUUCUCUGUUUUGAUUAACGGCAGUCCGUAUGGUUCCUUCAAACCAAGCCGCGGUAUACGGCAAGGAGACCCUUUGUCUCCAUACCUUUUCAUACUUUGUGCAAAUGUUUUGAGUUCGCUAAUGACACAUGCCAUUCGAGAAAAGUAGAUUAAAGGAAUACGAGUCAGCAAUAAUGGCCCGUCGGUCUCACACCUAUUCUUCGCGGAUGAUUCCUUAUUUUUCGUCAAAGCGGAUCAUAAGAACAGCACCAACUUGCUGAAUAUUUUCAAAGAGUAUGAAACAGCAUCGGGUAAAAUGAUCAACUUAGAGAAGUCGUCCAUAACGUUUGGAAAUAAUGUGUAUCAAUCUACGAGAGAUAGGAUUAUGAGCACUCUUCGUAUACCAAAUGUUGGUGGUGGUGGAAAGUAUUUGGGGCUCCCUGAACAAUUCGGCAGAAGGAAAAAGGACAUGUUCCAGUAUAUCCAAAACCGAGUUCAACAUAAGAUAGACGGGUGGCAAACUAAGUUUUUAUCGCCGGCUAGAAAGGAGACACUAAUUAAGAGUGUUACAUACGCAAUGCCGAUUUACUCAAUGAAUUGUUUUCAAUUGCCAAUGGAGCUGUGCUCUGAUAUUGAUAGCAUGAUAGCACGUUUCUGGUGGGGCUCAACAAAAGAGAGACGAAAACUCUCAUGGGUAGCAUGGAAGAAGAUGACAACAUCUAAGAAAAGUGGCGGUAUGGGAUUCUGGGAUUUGCAUCUAUUUAAUCAAACACUCCUAGCAAAUCAAGUCUGGAAAAUUCUACGACGACCACAAUCACUCCUAUAUCGAAUACUCAAAGGACGCUACUUUCGCGAUGACACCAUUUUCUCGGCUACAAGAGGUACACAACCGUCUUACGGUUGGAACUCACUACGCUUUGGUAGAGAUCUCCUACAGCGGAGGAUACAAGUACUUAUUGGUGAUGGAAAAACAACAUCAAUAGGGACUGACCCAUGGCUCCCAACCAAUCCACCAAGGGCACCUAGGCUACUCCCAACAUCCGAACCACUACUCAAGGUUGAAAAUCUAAUUGACACAAUGUGCACCAAUGGAAUGAAGACCAAAUUGCUAGGCUAAUCCAUCCGGAAGACCACCACCUUAUUUCCCAAAUCUAUCUACCUCUCAAGCCUAAGCCGGAUUCACAUAUUUGGAGCCCAACGAAGGAUGGGAACUACACGGUCAAGUCUAGUUAUUGGACAGCCAUGAACUUACUGAUAGACAAUGACACUCCACAACCAAGACUAGCACAUUUCCCUGAUAUCUCUACGAGUAUUUGGAAGUUGACUAUCACUCCCAAAUUAAAGCACUUUCUAUGGAGAGUGGGGUCACGAGCAAUAGGAACUGCGGAUAAUUUGAGACGUCAGAACAUAAAUGUAAACCCCUACUGCUCACGGUGUUGCACGGUGCUGGAGACGUGUGACCAUACUUUCUUUACAUGUCCUUAUGCCCAAGGAGUAUGGAGAGCAGCCGGAAUUCCCACUGCUCAAAUAUGCGACCCUAGCAAACCGAUGGAAGACAAGCUACGACAACUCUUCACCAUUCACAUGACGAACAAAUAAGUCGUAACACAAGAUUCUUACCAUUUUGGAUAAUGUGGAGACUGUGGAAAGCUCGGAAUGCUCUGGUGUUUAACCGUAAAACCACAACAACUGUGGACACAGUAAUUCAUGCAGUAUCGGACACUAAGGAAUGGCUGGAUAAUGCUACAAAGACUACAACUCGACAUAACUCAGGCCCGAUUAAGGAUGCACGAGAAGCAGGUUGGAGAAAACCCCCAAGAGGAGUAAUGAAAUGCAACUACGAUGUAUCACAUCAUGGCGGGAACAGAGUCUCUGGUCUAGGGUGGAUUAUACGUGAUUCUUUUGGAACCUUUCAUGACUGCGGAUGGGGUAAAUCUCAAGGAUGCACUACAACGGAGGAAGCAGAAUGCACAAGCCUCAUAUGGGCCUUGCAAGCGACUUGGGGAUUGGGAUAUAGGAUGGUUGAAUUUGAAGGCGAUAACCAGAACAUCAACAACAUCAUCAAUGGGACAGCACCACACCCACGGCUGCAACACUACAUUGACACAAUAUGGGCCUGGAGAGAUCUCUUUACUCAAGCCACUUUCACCUUCAAACCGAGAGAACAAAACAAGUGUGCUGAUAUACUUGCAAAAAAAGCUAUAAGUAGUGAUGAGAGAUGGGGUUUGUAUCAUUCUUGUCCACACUUUCUUAACAGUCCUGUAAAGAACGAUAUUGAUCCAAAAUAUUAAUAAAGGUUUUUGGAAGGAAAAAUAAAUAAAUAAAUAACCUAAAUACUAAAAUAUUCGGAUGUUAAGAUAUUUUCGGGUAUUUUAGCUACCUUUGGCUAUAUUCAGGUAAAAAAUAGUAGAAUUUUGUAAUUUUUUUGGAUAUUUUCCAGAAGUUCAUAUAGAAUUGGAUACAAAUUUUUUUUAUAUUUGGAUACUUUGGGUAAACCCGAUCCAAAGCCGACCCGAACCCGAAGUUUUAAAAUACCCAAACAGGUCCUAGAUUUCUAAAUCCAAAAUAAAACCCGAAUUCGAAAAAUCCCACCCGAACCCAAAUGACAGACAUUUUUAGUGUAUUUGGAGGAAUUUCAUAGUGACAAGGAAGAAUUCACAAAUAUCUCUCUAUCUUUAUUCUCUCGAUGUGCAAAUGUAAAAGAGAUAAUUUGGCACGAAAAAGUUUGUACCGAACCGCAUCAUAUCAGAUAUGUAAACAACAUUCUUUUUUUUUUGUGAGAAGGGGGGAGGCAAUAUAAACAACAUUCCUUAGAAAUAAUUUUUUUGAGCUCUAAUUAAUUGCGAGUGAUGGAAAAAAAAUCUAUAUAUAAAGGAUAUAGUAUGUGGAAGCCUCCUUAGCCCAUUGGUUGACCAAGGGUUAAUUAAUUAUUCUACACCAAGAGGUUUGGGGUUCGAGUCACAUGUACUGCGAUUUAUUAAUGCAGAUUAAUGGAGGCAAGUGUGCAGGAGAUCUCUAACGAUGUACAAUUAUAGCCGUUCGCCAGGAUUCUACGCAGAGAAAGAAGUGUCGUCGGGUCGUGGAUCAUUGAAGGUGUCCGUCAAGAGCAUGAAGAAGGAAGUGUCGUCCGUCGUGGAUCUAAUAAGAAUCAGAAGCAAUUGUCCGUUGUAAAAUCGUCUAUUUAACAGUUCUCAUAAUUUACAAUAAAUAAUAAAUUAAGACGUUAAAAAAAAUAGAUAUAGUAUUGUCUAUUAUGAGGAAUCAAAAUGCAUUGAAUAUUUUUGUGUAAAAAAUGCAUCGAAUUCGAAGUUUCAGGAAUCCAUAAAAGAAAUUUUUUCCUUUUUUAUUUGGUAAUUCACUUGUCUUACUCUUUUUCGUUUGGCUUUAUUGUGUCCAAAUUCUUUGUAAACUAGCGUCUGUAAUUAUUCUUAACCAGUUUUUUCCAACUCUUUUUAUCUUUUAGGAAUUAUAGCAUCGGUUUGUCCAAAAAAAAAAAAAAAGGAAUUAUAGCAUCGGCUGGUUAUGUCAAUUUUGGUUCUCUUGUACAGUUUAAUUCGUAGGAAAAAAAUUAUUUACUUCUCAAUUAGUAGAAAGGUAUCAGAGUCAAGAUUGAUUUGAUGUGAACUUUACCAAAAACAAAAACAAAUUAAUGCAGAGAAUUAGAUAUUUUCUUCUUUCUUACAUAUGAGGAAAAAAAUCAUGUGGGCUAGUCCCACCUCAUUUCAUUUCCACCACUGGUUCGAUCUCGUUACCGUCUCCAAUAGGAAACUAAAAUGUGACCACACAACCCAAAAAAAAAAAUCUAUAUAUUGGCUCUCUCAAGUCUCUCAGUAUCAUGCACCAAAGUAAAAAACAAAGACUUGAGUUAAUAUGUCUAGUACUAAAGAAAUGUCAACUGUCAAAAACACAACUCCGUUUAACGGCGUUGCCCCAUCCUCCACCGUGCGAGUUACAAUCGUUCAAUCGUCCACCGUCUAUAACGAUACCCCCGCCACAUUAGGUAAGUAAUCCAUUUAUUCUUCACAUAGUUUUUCUUUUUUUUUUGAUAUGUAAAAUUUAUCAAAACGUUCCAUUUCAAUUUGUAGACAAGGCGGAGAAGUAUAUUGUGGAGGCGGCGAGCAAGGGAGCGGAGUUGGUGCUGUUCCCGGAGGCGUUUAUCGGUGGCUAUCCUCGUGGUUUUAGGUUCGGUUUAGCUGUGGGAGUUCAUAAUGAAGAAGGGCGUGAUGAGUUUCGCAAGUACCAUGCUUCUGCUAUUCAUGUUCCUGGUAUUUACUAUUUACUUCCAGGAAUCUAUGUUUGACUUUUUGUUUUCUUAUCUUGUAUUUUUAGAAUAAAUUACGGAUUUUGUCCUUUUUCAUAAGGGCAUUUGUGGAUUUUGCCCUUUUUUGAAUAGUUUAUGCAUUUUGCCUUUUUUCAUGCUCCAAAAAUAUGAUUUAACAUGCGUUUCACUCUUUAUGUUUGGGUUUAGUCGGUUCCAUUUGUUCUUAGGGUUUAGUAUUUGGUAUAAAGUACGUAUUUUUGGAAAAAAAAAUCCUAAAUACGUACAUUUUUAAGUGUUAAAAAGGGCAAAAUCCGUAAACUAUUCAAAAAAAGGCAUUUUCGUAAGUUUUUCCCAAAAAAAGGGCAUUUUAAACAAUAAUCCCUGUAUUUUUAUCCAUGAAAUGAUUUUCUUACACUGUUUUAACCCCUGUUCUAAAAAUCCCCGCCUAGCCCCGAUUACUCCCCGCUUAAUCGCUAGGCCCACCCUAUCCGCCUCGAUUAAUGACUAAUCCCCUAAAAAAUCAGUAACCCGAUUAUUCUCCGCCUAAUCCGAUUACUUCCCGCCUAAUCCGAUUAUUUUCCACCUUAUCUUAUAUACCCCGAUUAUUUUUUAGAUUGCAAGUAUAAAAAAACCUUUUAUUUUUGUUAUUCAAUCAUUUGAAUGGUGAGUUUGUGAUGUUUUACAAUAACUUGUGUUCAAAUUUUAAUAAAAAUCAUAAAUUUGUAAUAAAAAUCAUAAAUUUUUACAAUAUUGGAUUAAUAUAUUUUAAAAAUAUUAAAAUAACCCUAAAACUAAUCCCCGAUUAAUCCCCGAUUUUAAUCCGAUUUUCUGAUUAAUCGCUAGGCCCAUGCCGAGCGCCCGACUAACGCCUAGCGAUUUUUCAAACAAGGGUUUUAACCAAUCAAUAACUUUGAACUCUAACCUCAAUUAUUGUAUGCUUAUCUAGUACGUACAAGUGUAUUCAAAGUACACCACCCGAUAUCGGAUCCAAACCUAUUGGGUCAAAAAAAUUUUGGAUAUCCGGAUCUUUAUCUUUUAAAAUUACUCUUUAAAGAUGUUACAUUAAAUGUUAUAUAUUUUGACCAAAAAAUUAUAAACGUUAUAUUAUUAAAGAUUUUUUAUUUCUCCUUUAUUUGGUUGCUGGAUUGUGAUUUUUGUUUGGUUAUGUUGGCUGUGGUUGGAGUCAUGGAGAUGUAUAUAUACGUUGUGGACAAUGGAAUGGAAUUUUAGUUGGAACAAAGAAACCUCAACUUUGAGGAUAAACAUGUUUGAUUUCGAGUUUUCCGUUUUUGUCACUUUUAGAUGGAAAUUAAAUGGAACAAGCACCUAAUUAGUGAUAUUUUGUAGCUCUAGUUUUUAAAUUUAGUUGAGCAAUCUCAAAAUCUUGGGACACAAAAUGACUCUUUCUUGCACAUAUGUUUGGUUUUUGUGAUGAAUCUUAAGGCCCUGAAGUAGCAAGAUUGGCUGAGGUUGCAAGGAAAAACCAUGUGUACUUGGUAAUGGGAGCAAUAGAGAAGGAUGGGUAUACACUCUAUUGCACAGCUCUUUUCUUUAGUCCACAAGGUCAGUUCUUGGGUAAGCAUCGGAAACUCAUGCCCACAACUUUGGAACGUUGCAUUUGGGGUCAAGGGGACGGAUCAACUAUCCCCGUUUACGACACUCCCAUUGGCAAACUCGGUGCUGCUAUUUGCUGGGAGAAUAGGAUGCCCCUCUAUAGAACUGCAUUGUACGCCAAAGGUCAGUUUUUAACCCAAUGCAGUUUUGACACAUCUAGUCUUUAUUGAAAUAUUACUUACAAUUUUUUAUUUUUGGCGCGCAGGCAUUGAGAUUUAUUGUGCGCCUACUGCUGAUGGUUCGAAGGAAUGGCAAUCGUCGAUGCUUCACAUUGCGAUCGAAGGUGGAUGUUUCGUGUUGUCGGCUUGCCAAUUCUGUCAGCGUAAAGAUUUCCCUGAUCAUCCGGACUACUUGUUUACCGAUUGGGACGACAACAAAGAACAUGAUGCUAUUGUCUCCCAAGGUGGAAGUGUCAUUAUUUCACCUUUGGGACAGGUUCUCGCCGGACCAAACUUUGAAUCAGAGGGUCUCAUCACAGCUGAUCUUGGUAUGUAUAUGUAUAUACACUCUCAUUUGAUAUUCAUCAAUUUGUUUUUGAGCUAAUCAUAUCAAUAACGUUAUUUUUUAUCAAGAU